rnacentral:rRNA from 1 species
GUGGGGAAUAUUGGACAAUGGGCGCAAGCCUGAUCCAGCAAUGCCGCGUGCAGGAAGAAGGCCUUCGGGUUGUAAACUGCUUUUGUACGGAACGAAACGGUCCGGGUUAAUACCCUGGGCUAAUGACGGUACCGUAAGAAUAAGCACCGGCUAACUACGUGCCAGCAGCCGCGGUAAUACGUAGGGUGCAAGCGUUAAUCGGAAUUACUGGGCGUAAAGCGUGCGCAGGCGGUUUUGUAAGACAGGCGUGAAAUCCCCGGGCUCAACCUGGGAAUUGCGCUUGUGACUGCAAGGCUGGAGUGCGGCAGAGGGGGAUGGAAUUCCGCGUGUAGCAGUGAAAUGCGUAGAUAUGCGGAGGAACACCGAUGGCGAAGGCAAUCCCCUGGGCCUGCACUGACGCUCAUGCACGAAAGCGUGGGGAGCAAACAGGAUUAGAAACCCGUGUAGUCC